rfam:Gossypium raimondii Chr10_contig_20, whole genome shotgun sequence.
UGUUAAAAAAUUCAUUCAUUUUUACUGUUAAAAACUGAUGUGGCUGACGAAAUAACUAAAUAGAUACAUGUCUGACAUAUAGAGAUUUGUUUUUAAUAGUAAAAAUGAAUGGAAUUUUUAACA